rnacentral:rRNA from 1 species
UAGGGAAUCUUCCGCAAUGGGCGAAAGCUUGACGGAGCAACGCCGCGUGAGUGAUGAAGGUCUUCGGAUCGUAAAACUCUGUUAUUAGGGAAGAACAAAUGUGUAAGUAACUAUGCACGUCUUGACGGUACCUAAUCAGAAAGCCACGGCUAACUACGUGCCAGCAGCCGCGGUAAUACGUAGGUGGCAAGCGUUAUCCGGAAUUAUUGGGCGUAAAGCGCGCGUAGGCGGUUUUUUAAGUCUGAUGUGAAAGCCCACGGCUCAACCGUGGAGGGUCAUUGGAAACUGGAAAACUUGAGUGCAGAAGAGGAAAGUGGAAUUCCAUGUGUAGCGGUGAAAUGCGCAGAGAUAUGGAGGAACGCCAGUGGCGAAGGCGACUUUCUGGUCUGUAACUGACGCUGAUGUGCGAAAGCGUGGGGAUCAAACAGG